AUGCCUCUGCCAUGUUCGUCACGGGCCUCGUAUUGUUGACCCUAUAACAAUCCGCAGGGGACCGGUUUUUCGUUCUCGGCCGCGUGUAUAUCCGUCGCCCGUUUCGGCGGGUCUUCGGCUCACACAACCCGGGCGAAGGUCCCCACCUUGCAUUGCGGGUUCAAACAAUAAGGCCUGAACGGCAUUACGGUGGAGGCUUU
rnacentral:other from 1 species